rnacentral:rRNA from 1 species
AAUCAACGCUGGCGGCGCGCUUAACACAUGCAAGUCGAGCGAGAAAGGGGGAGCAAUCCUCCGAGUACAGCGGCGCACGGGUGAGUAACACGUGGAUGAUCUGCCUUUGAGUGGGGAAUAACCCUGGGAAACCGGGGCUAAGACCGCAUACGCCUGGGAAGGGAAAGCGAGCAAUCGCGCUCAAAGAGGAGUCCGCGGCCGAUUAGCUAGUUGGUGAGGUAACGGCUCACCAAGGCGGGGAUCGGUAGCCGGCCUGAGAGGGCACACGGCCACACUG